rnacentral:rRNA from 1 species
GACAGAGGGUGCAAACGUUGUUCGGAUUUACUGGGCGUAAAGCGCGUGUAGGCGGCUUUGCAAGUCGGAUGUGAAAGCCCACGGCUCAACCGUGGAAGUGCAUCCGAAACUGCAUGGCUGGAGUCUCGGAGAGGAAGGUGGAAUGCUUGGUGUAGAGGUGAAAUUCGUAGAUAUCAAGCAGAACACCUGCGGCGAAGGCGGGUCUCUGGGCCGUAACUGACGCUGAGGAGCGAAAGCAUGGGGAGCGAACAGG